rnacentral:rRNA from 1 species
GACGAACGCUGGCGGCGUGCUUAACACAUGCAAGUCGAACGCUGAAGACCUGGCUUUUGUUGGGUUGGAUGAGUGGCGAACGGGUGAGUAACACGUGAGUAACCUGCCCUCUUCUUUGGGAUAACGCCCGGAAACGGGUGCUAAUACUGGAUAUUCACUGGCCUUCGCAUGGGGGUUGGUGGAAAGGUUUGUUCUGGUGGGGGAUGGGCUCGCGGCCUAUCAGCUUGUUGGUGGGGUGAUGGCCUACCAAGGCUUUGACGGGUAGCCGGCCUGAGAGGGUGACCGGUCGCAUUGGGACUGGGAUACGGCCCAGACUCCUACGGGAGGCAGCAGUGGGGAAUAUUGCACAAUGGGCGAAAGCCUGAUGCAGCGACGCCGCGUGAGGGAUGGAGGCCUUCGGGUUGUAAACCUCUUUCGCUCAUGGUCAAGCCGCAACUGUGGGUUGUGGUGAGGGUAGUGGGUAAAGAAGCGCCGGCUAACUACGUG